rnacentral:rRNA from 1 species
GAUGAACGCUGGCGGCGUGCCUAAUACAUGCAAGUCGAGCGAACGGACGAGAAGCUUGCCUCUCUGAUGUUAGCGGCGGACGGGUGAGUAACACGUGGAUAACCUACCUAUAAGACUGGGAUAACUUCGGGAAACCGGAGCUAAUACCGGAUGAUAUUUUGAACCGCAUGGUUCAAAAGUGAAAGACGGUCUUGCUGUCACUUAUAGAUGUAUCCGCGCUGCAUUAGCUAGUUGGUAAGGUAACGGCUUACCAAGGCAACGAUGCAUAGCCGACCUGAGAGGGUGAUCGGCCACACUGGAACUGAGACACGGUCCAGACUCCUACGGGAGGCAGCAGUAGGGAAUCUUCCGCAAUGGGCGAAAGCCUGACGGAGCAACGCCGCGUGAGUGAUGAAGGUCUUCGGAUCGUAAAACUCUGUUAUUAGGGAAGAACAUAUGUGUAAGUAACUGUGCACAUCUUGACGGUACCUAAUCAGAAAGCCACGGCUAACUACGUG